GCCUGGGUGGCUCAGUCAGUUAAGUGUCUGACUUCAGCUCAGGUCAUGAUCUCACAGUUUGUGGGUUCGAGCCCCGCGUCAGGCU
rnacentral:tRNA from 1 species